rnacentral:rRNA from 1 species
AAUCCACCUGGGGAGUACGUUGGCCACCAUGAAACUCCAAGGAAUUGACGGGGGCCCGCACAAGCGGAGGAACCUGUGGUUUAAUUCCAUGAUACGCGAGGAACCUUACCUGGACUUAAAUGUAGAUUGCAUGAAGCAGAGAUACUUCUUUCUUCGGACUAUUUACCAGGUGCUGCAUGGUUGUCGUCAGCUCGUGCCGUGAGGUGUCGGGUUAAGUCCCAUAACGAGCGCCACCCCUGUUGUUAGUUACCAGCACGUAAAGGUGGGGACUCUAACAAGACUGCCGGUGUAAACCGCGAGGAAGGUGGGGAUGACGUCAAAUCAGCACGGCCCUUACGUCCAGGGCUACACACGUGUUACAAUGGCAGGUACAAAGGGCAGCUACAUAGCAAUAUGAUGCUAAUCUCAAAAGCCUGUCUCAGUCCGGAUCGGAGUCUGCAACUCGACUCCGUGAAGCUGGAUUCGCUAGUAAUCGCGCAUCAGCCAUGGCGCGGUGAAUACGUUCCCGGGCCUUGUACACACCGCCCGUCAAACCAUGGAAGCCGGGGGUACCUGAAGUCUGUUACCGCAAGGAGUGGCCUAGGGUAAAACUGGUAACUAGGGUUAAGUCGUAACAAGGUAGCCG